GCGGCCCCUCCCGGCGGGGUGGCCCCGGCCGCCGCCGCCGCCGCCGCCGCCGGGCCUCGGUUUCCCCAUCUGGCGGAGAAAGGGCCCGGCCGCCCCCAUCUAAACCGCCGGCUCUGUCAUGGCGCGACCUGGACGCGUGCCAGGGACGUGCUCUGUAACCUUGGCUCACUGACUGUUUUCUCUCCGAGCCUCGGUUUCCUCUUCUGUAGAAAGGCCGCGGUGAUCCCGCCGACCUCAUGGGAGCCAUUCCUUCGGCGCACGUUUAUUGAGCGCCUACUGUGUGCCAGGCCCUGCUCCGAGACCCGGGGGUGGGGGUGGCGGGGCACGAAGUCCCGGCCCUGGUGGCGAUGACAUGAGACAGAGGAGCGCGCGAGCCAGAAUCCCUGGCACGUCGGAGCCGCUCAACUGUUUCCCCGCGGCGCUGCCCCAUGUCACGUCCCCCCCACCGCGUCCCUCCCCGCCAGCCGUGCACGAGGCUGUCGACUUCUCCACGUCUCUGCCAACACUCGCUCUUGUCCCUUUCGGAAAAAAGAGCACUCAGUAACCAUUCUGGUGGGUGAAAAGCGGUGUCUCGUUGCAGUCUUGAUUUGCAUAAGGCGAUAUUUGAACAAGCCGAAAUUAAUGAAACAAUUUCCGCGACGGGCGACAUUUCGAAAUUUUCCUAAGAACGGGAUCCAGUCCUGCACGCGCUGCCCGCCGCACCUGUUCCCCCCGCCCCUUGCCAGUCCUGUGGCAGCGUGCCCUUGCUCCCGGGCCCCCUUCCCCAAACCGGUAACAGCUCAACGUUUUCUCCCAGCUGGAGGACUCCUCGCUGUUGGACACAGGAAGUGUGCGACGCGUUGCUUUUGUGGACUCUCUAGAAUUAACCAGCGGAAUGUCAGCUCCCGGAGGCAGGGGUUUUUGUCUGCCUCCUUCACUGCUGGAUCCCCAGCGCCUAGAAGGGUGCCUGCCUCGCCCUAAGUGCUGGACAAAUGGUGAAUGGAUGAAUGAACAAAGCAACGAACGGAUGGACGGACGGGUUGCAAGGAUCCCCCCAAGACAGACCCGGAAAAGCACUUUGUACCCGCUGCUGGCACAGGCCACCUGGAUUCAAGGUGCUUGGUCUGCUGGGAUCCUCCGAUUGGCCGGGCUUGGAUCACAUGACAUGCGCUGGCUGGCAGGCCUUCUCCGGCCUCUUCUUUCCCACCAGGAAAAACAAACCAACGCUGAAAUCAGUCUGUAUUGUAUCACCCUGCUUUAUUAUUACUUUAAGGGGCACGUAUGGUGCCGGAAAGAUCACGUUGAGCUAUG